rnacentral:rRNA from 1 species
AGACCGAUAGCGAACAAGUAGAGUGAUCGAAAGAUGAAAAGCACUUUGAAAAGAGAGUUAAACAGCACGUGAAAUUGUUGAAAGGGAAGCGCUUGCGACCAGACUCGCCCUCGGGGUUCAGCCGGCACUCGUGCCGGUGUACUUCCCCGGGGGCGGGCCAGCGUCAGCUUGGGCGGCCGGUCAAAGGCCUCCGGAAUGUAGGGCCCCCCGGGGCACCUUAUAGCCGGAGGUGCAAUGCGGCCAACCUGGGCUGAGGAACGCGCUUC